UGAGCUUCGUCAGGUCUUCGGCGUCCCAGUACGUAUAAAUCAGGAAAUUACUCAGCGCUGUUCCUGAUCCAUGAAGCGGAUAAAUUCCAAUCGGUGUCAGCAGAGUUCGAGAUAUCUUCACGACGUAAUUAAUAUUCGUUUCGCAAUCAGUGUUCUUGUAUUUUGUAGGAGUUGUUUCUAGUCUUUCCAUUUUGGUGGGAUUGACGGUUGGAGCACUUUUGAGGUAAAUCAUGGGAAUCGUCAGUGAAGAGGCUAUUCUCAACGCUUGCGCUUGAAUUUUUCAGAUGUUGGGGUGAACGAAGCAAAGUGGAACGACAGCUAAAAAUGCUCGAGUUGUACUUUCCAUGGAUUGAAAAAGG